AUUGAACGCUGGCGGCAUGCUUUACACAUGCAAGUCGAACGGUAACAGGCCUUCGGGUGCUGACGAGUGGCGAACGGGUGAGUAAUGCAUCGGAACGUGCCCAGAGGUGGGGGAUAACGCAGCGAAAGCUGUGCUAAUACCGCAUGUGAUCUGAGGAUGAAAGCGGGGGACCAGGCAGCAAUGUUUGGCCUCGCGCCUUUGGAGCGGCCGAUGUCAGAUUAGGUAGUUGGUGGGGUAAAGGCCUACCAAGCCGACGAUCUGUAGCUGGUCUGAGAGGACGACCAGCCCCACUGGAACUGGGACACGGCCCAGACUCCUACGGGAGGCAGCAGUGGGGAAUUUUGGACAAUGGGCGCAAGCCUGAUCCAGCAAUGCCGCGUGCGGGAAGAAGGCCUUCGGGUUGUAAACCGCUUUUGUACGGAACGAAAAGGCUCUGGCUAAUACCUGGGGCUGAUGACGGUACCGUAAGAAUAAGCACCGGCUAACUACGUG
rnacentral:rRNA from 1 species